rnacentral:rRNA from 1 species
AAGGAGCUUGCUCCUUUGACGUUAGCGGCGGACGGGUGAGUAACACGUGGGCAACCUACCUUAUAGUUUGGGAUAACUCCGGGAAACCGGGGCUAAUACCGAAUAAUCUGUUUCACCUCAUGGUGAAAUAUUGAAAGACGGUUUCGGCUGUCGCUAUAGGAUGGGCCCGCGGCGCAUUAGCUAGUUGGUGAGGUAACGGCUCACCAAGGCGACGAUGCGUAGCCGACCUGAGAGGGUGAUCGGCCACACUGGGACUGAGACACGGCCCAGACUCCUACGGGAGGCAGCAGUAGGGAAUCUUCCACAAUGGGCGAAAGCCUGAUGGAGCAACGCCGCGUGAGUGAAGAAGGAUUUCGGUUCGUAAAACUCUGUUGUAAGGGAAGAACAAGUACAGUAGUAACUGGCUGUACCUUGACGGUACCUUAUUAAAAAGCCACGGCUAACUACGUGCCAGCAGCCGCGGUAAUACGUAGGUGGCAAGCGUUGUCCGGAAUUAUUGGGCGUAAAGCGCGCGCAGGUGGUUUCUUAAGUCUGAUGUGAAAGCCCACGGCUCAACCGUGGAGGGUCAUUGGAAACUGGGAGACUUGAGUGCAGAAGAGGAUAGUGGAAUUCCAAGUGUAGCGGUGAAAUGCGUAGAGAUUUGGAGGAACACCAGUGGCGAAAGCGACUAUCUGGUCUGUAACUGACACUGAGGCGCGAAAGCGUGGGGAGCAAACAGGA